UCGCAUGGACUUGUACCGGCGAUACGUUUAUCAAGUUUCUGCCCUAUCAACUUUUGAUGGUUGUGUAUUUGACAACCAUGGUGGUGACGGAUAACGGAGAAUUAAGGUUUGACUCCGGAGAGGGAGCCUGAGAAACGGCUACCACAUCCAAGGAAGGCAGCAGGCGCGAAAAUACCCACUCUCAGAGCGAGGAGG
rnacentral:rRNA from 1 species